GCCAGACAUGGCUGGAUGUAAUCAGACACCGCAACAUAACUCCCGCAAACGAGGACUAAGGGCAUGCAGCGACCACUUUGAAGGCACUGACUACCAAGGCGACCGUCUGAAGCCUGGACCGUUUUCCCAUCGUUGGUCGAACCACUAGAGGUCCUUAGAAGGUGCCAGAGUUCCAAUCAUGGAUGUGCCAGAGAAUUUGCAGGUGGACCAGGGGGAGAUUGCAAUCACAAACCAAAUGAAUAUUUCAGCUGAGGCAGAUAGAAGUUCAAGGACAAAGACAUUAUACAGAGAAAAAUGAAGCCCCUCACCAGAUGAUGUUUUAACAUUUACCUGCAUCUGUUAGUGUUCUACAGUGCUGUGGGAGUUUGAUUCCAUUACGCUUUCAUUACAGUCAUACUUAAUGGUUGUGUCACAGUCUAUUAACUGCAUUCAUCUUCACUGUGAUAUAUAACAAGACAUUGCCAUACAGAACAAAGAAAAAUUAGCCUGACUCACUGCAGUGGCACUACAAUUUAUAUAUUAUUUUCAACACUUAAGCAUGCAGCCAUUUUCAGAUUGUGGUUUUAUAUGAACAGCAGUUGCUGUUGUGUUGAUAAUGGCAUCCUGUAAUGCUUUUUGUAAUCUAAACAACUCAAUUAUCUGUUGGGCUACCAACCAUGAUCAGCAAAAUUACCAUAAGCACAUACAAUUUAAAACCAAGAAAUGGCAUGUGCAGCCCAUGGAAUAAAUCCUGACAGCUGUCAUAGGUUUGCAAUUUGGAGUUACAUUUUUAGAGAAUGGUUUGUGCUGUGCAUAUAAAUAUUAAAUUCAGAGGAGCUGACAUAGCAGUGUGGUUCUCAGCUUGCCAUGGUUAAUAUAUUAAAAAUAUAUUUUAAAAUGUUUUUACUCCUACCACCAUUGCCAUUUACUUUCACAAUUUAUGAGGAUCUAAUCAAUAAACAGCUGAGCGUUUACAUAAAAUGGGAAAUAGGAAAGCCACAGGAAACUCAUUCACAGAUGCAGACAUUCAUUUUUUCUGAAAUUUGCCACAUACUGUAGCAUUUCUCAGCUGACUAAUAGGAACAAUUCACCACAAAGUAUCAUAUUAAUAAAAUACACAGUAGGCAGCCAGGUGGAAUUGGGAGAAAAUGUAUCCCUGUGCCAACAGGACAUAUGUAAAGAGCUAGCAUUUACUUAUGUUAGCACCUAGCUGUUCACUCUGUUAAUAGGGUUGUUCAACCACUCUCCUCCCACUUACUACUAAUAUCACACUGAAAAGUACAAACUAGAACUAUAAAAAUGUUUUAAA